UAAAUGGGACAAAUCUAAUCUAAUGGGGAAAAUGUUAGUUUUUCCUGUCCUCCACCACUUGCACUUCUCCUCCAUCUGCCACACAUACUUCUGAUGGCAGAGAAAUGUGUUUUAAGUUUCAGUUAUUGAAAGUCUUUAAAAGUAGACUGAAAUGUCAUCUUCCUUUUUACGGUUAUUAAGUAGGUAUCAAUUACCAUGUUUACUGCAACACCCAAAGUUUACUGCACUGUUGUUCCUGGAAAUGCAGCCAUAGCACAGAGACAGUUUCUAUCUUGGGAGCAAAGCAGGUUUUCCCUCAGAAGUGGCAUGUGAGCUCUGCCUCUUCCAUCCUGCCUGUGCACCUUCUGUCCUAUGUGACCAAAAUCCUGCUCUGCACCCCUGGGUGAGUAAGUGGACAAGAUGGUGCAUGGCUUUUCCAGAUCUCAACAAGAAAACUCCAAGAACAAGUGGCAUAAUAAAACAGACAUUGUAAUACA
rnacentral:lncRNA from 1 species